ensembl:lncRNA
CCAGGCUGCACACCCUGCACACCACACACCUCACACCUUCACACCAUUUACAUCCAGCAUGCACUGGUUUAAUCUUGCUUUGCUCUGCGAAGAAUUUAAUCCUGAAUAAUGAUGCGUGGAAGAGAACAGAUGAAGACAUUGGCGUUAAAAGUGGUGGUGCUUGGUGUUUCUGAGAGACUUCUGACUGUGAGCUGGUCUUCUCGUCCUCUCUGUAGGUGUGUGUUUGUGGUCACCGAUGAAGAUGGCUGUAUCUGAGGUGAGCUGUUGUCAUAGAAACAACACCCCGGUCUACAAGCUCCACGGUGACGUGAAUCCUGACUGCACCAUCACCUGGCUCACCCGAGACAACAAGAUGAUUGUAGAUGAUUCUGGUAAUGUGGACCCGGACACCGUAGUUUCAUACGAACACGGUGAGCUGACCGUGAAGAGCCGAGACUGUGAUGUGUUGGUCAGAGAGGACUGUCUGUCUCUGGGGGAGCGCAAAAUAAACUGCACAGCUCUGUGUAAACCAGAAAAGCCUAAUGUAACUGAAAACCUGACUACAGAAGACAGGAUCUCUCCUCUGAUCAUCAGCUUCAUCAUUCUCGGCCUCGUCGUCCUCCUCCUCCUCCUCAUCAUCCCCAUUAGUGUUGGUGUGGUGGUGUAUAAGAGACUCCAAGGGAGCCAUGACUUUGAAAAUGCGAACACCAUUAACGAAACUAAUGACCACCACAACAUCGUGGAACUCCAGCCUCUUCAGUGAGGUUGUAUAAACCGUGCCAGCGUUUGGCCGUCUGUAGAUGAAGUUAUAAAUGUAGAGGCAGGUGCGGAGACUUCCGCUGGAAUUACAAUGAGAUCUUCAAGGUGAUUUUCUUCAUUUUCAGUUUAAAAUGUAAGAACGUCACACCUGAAUGAGAAUCAGUACAAAGAGAAACCGACUUCUGUAGUUUAUAGAUUUAUAGAUAUAUAGAUUUAUAAAUAUAUAGAUAGAUGCUCUAUAUUACACAGUAAACAGAGAAACAGGACGAUCAGAUGAAAGUUGCACCGCUGAUGAAGGACUUUUGCCUCAAAUGUUUUUGUUUCUCUGAAAAAUAUAUAUAAUGUCAUAUAUAUAUAUAUAUAUAUAUAUAUAUAUAUAUAUAUAUAUAUAUAUAUAUAUAUAUAUAUAUAUAUAUAUAUAACAUUUAAAGGUGAAGCUUUAUUAUUAUUAUGAAGAUUAUUAUUAUUAUUAUUAUUAUCAUACUUGCG